rnacentral:lncRNA from 10 species
AUCGAUCUGUCUCCCAGGUGUGUCCUUAACCUUGGCAAAUAAACCUCCAAAGAUGACUGAGACUUGUCUCGACAUUUUCUUUGACUGACAUCUGGUAACCACGGAGGGAUCCUGAGUGAAAGUGACCUGGCCUACAGCUAUUAGCCUCUUGGUGCUUCGUACUGGCUUGGGCACCUUAUAGCUCGAACCAACAGGAUGAAUUUGCUGAAGUUUGGGACCUAUUUCCUCCAGGGGUUCCUGAUCUUCCAACAGUUUUUGAUUGGGGGUCUGAAGUUUAUUGGCUGUUAAAAAAAAUCCUUUUUUUGUGGGAGUUUUUCCACCUGCUUCCACCAAGAAAGGCAAGCUCAUCUGCUUCUGCAACGGCAGAGAGUGGUCUCCAGCUUGGAACCCAUCACUAGGCACAACCUCCUGAAUGGACUGUAACUCCCACCAAAGACCUUUGCCUCCAGUCCACUAAACAUCGACCUUCAACCCAGAAUUAGAAGCAGAUGACAGCUGAUGUGGACUGCUUAAACCCAAGACACAGGACCAGGC